UGAGUAAGAGGUCUCACGUAAGACCAUUAUCUGGCCUUGUUUUAAGACCACUUCAGGGCUCCAGUCUUGCAAUCUGAUUUGUGCACAGACAGAUGCAUGCUUAACUGAUGUCAGUGGGCUGCUUUUUUGGCUUGGGAAGGCAUUUCGUGGAUCAAGGCCAUAACAGUUAACUCAGCUACCCAAACAAGAAAAUGAUGAAGCUCCUCUGCUGUGUUUAAUUUGAUGGCUUUGAGAUUAUAUCAACUUUUAGCUUCAUAGAUGUGCGGUGUUUCUCCACUAAAAAAGUGUAAUAUUCUUACCGUACUCCCACAACUUUGAGAAGACAGACAAACAUCAUGCAAAUGUUAGAGAACAAGCAGUAUUUAGUGUACCUGAGGUGGACCACACCAGCAGAAUGGCAAUGCCUACAGAAAAGGCCAUCCUUUCAGGACACCCAUUCCUUCCCAUGAAUUAUGGCAUGCUUGUUUGUCCUUGCUGCCUUACACCGAAGUUUCCAAACUUGCUUGUGUAUGUGCGGUCAUAGGAGUUAGGUGCCUGUUUUCAGAAAUAACGAGUUUAUAUGAAUGCUGCUCAGUUCAUGGGAAAAUGGAUGUGACCUCAAGAAACAGCUGCACUUUGAUUCUGGAGAUGAGGUUUCUAGCUUUAGAUUUAGAGAUCUCUGUGUUUAGAGCCUGAUUCUGAUUGCUCUUGUAUUGCACAGAGAUCUGCUCUCACAGUACGGUGGGUGCUGAGCCAACACCCUUUGAAGUCCAUGGAAACUCUCUCACCGACUUCUAAAACAGACUGAGUUGUGCGUGAAUUCUACAGCCCAUUUUUUCUGCCUCAGUCACCAGUGUGGUCUCCCUCCUGGGUAUCAUGGGUAUGGAAGCUAAAUUAGCCACCCAAAAAAUUUAACAGAGCGUUAGACAGAGGUGCAAUUUCUGUGACAAUGGAACAAAGGUACCUACACAUUUUAAACAGCUUUACAGUGCCAGUCUGCUUUCACUGAUAUCUGUUUUAAAGUUACCUGUGAUCAGAAGUACGAGUACUCUCUACAGGAUACUUUUCAUAUACUUUUACUGGACUCUGCCUGGCACACUCACUGAUCUCUCUUCAGCAUGUUCUCUUUUUGUAGAUGAUCAGACAUCUCAUUUCUUUAAUAUACGGCGUACAGGAGAUGGAUGCACCUACAUGAACACCGUUGCCACCAGUGUGCACUGGUACAGCAGUCAGGCAUGCAUUACAAGCAGAAAGACUGGGGCUGGACAUGAAUAAAAGUGUACUGUCAUAUUGUACAUGAGAUGAUCUUUAGAGACUUUACCUGACCAUUGUUUUCGAAAGCGUGAACACCAGUGUAAGCUUUGUUAGUUAUCAAGUGUUAAGCACACUAUCAUGAAGUCCACAUGCACUUACAGUUUUGGUUUUUAGGUGUACUUUCCCCAGGUGUAAGGAAAAAUGGUGGAAGACGCAGAAAACCUUUGCUUUGUGGCUUCAAGGUGUCUUGGCUCAUAAAGUAAUGCUGGUGUGGUACAUGUCUACAACUGGUUGUCUGGGUUGGAGCAGGACUGGAAGGUCUGGGAAUGAAUCCAUGCAGAAUUGAAUCCUUUCUGCAUCUCCUUGGCUGGUGAAAAGUCACAUUGCUGCCCACAAGGGCGCAAAUGUUGAAUAAACCAUCAUUUUGGGUAGUAUGAAUCCAAUCUGUUGCCUGGUUUUGAAUGUUCAUUUUCAUACUUACUAGGAGCUACAGAACACUUAGAAGGUCAUCUCCAUGGGAUGGCUUCUUGCUGGAUUUACAAGGAGCUCUCCUAAUCCUUCAGCCACACUGCAGAAGGCAAUGAAGACAGAGAACAUGACCUUCACUUUGGGAUCCAUAGUUGUGGCGGACCUACUCCUCAAGGCCGAUGUGUAAAUAACUGCCACCAGGAUGGAGAUGGUGCUCAUGGGGAGCACCAGACAGCUCUUGGCUGCUCUGUUUUACGUGACAGGUCUUGUACAGCUCUUCUACCUGGCUCAAGGAUGCACCCCAGAGAUUGGUCCAGAGGGAGAAAAAUGCUUGCUGAAAAGAAUACACUCUUUUUCUCAAAACAUGAGCAUCAGAGCAUUUAUCAUAGAACACAGCAUCUGGCCAUGGAGAACCUGCAGCAGAACGAGAGUGCAUCAAGCCUCUCCUAGCAGCACAAAGGUGAAUUAAAAUUGCGUUAAGGAUGGAUAAUCACCUCUGCUGUGUUACUCUGGAUAUGUCCAUACAGCAGACUGGGAAGGAGA